CUCGUAAUUGAUACAGAGGAGGAGCUCAUUCCCAUUGAUUCGGGGGAAGAGGAGCCAGAUUAUAUAAUUAUUGACAGUGAGGAUGAAAAACCCUCUCCCCAACUUGGCCCUACACUGUCACAGGCGGUGGCGGAGGAGGAGGAGGAGGACCAGGACUCUCUGUCCCUCACCACACUGCACCCAUUAAGCCCUACACUGGAACAGGCCACGGAGGAGGAGGAGGAUGAUGAUGAUGCUGCU